GAUCCGGUCGGCGGCAAAGGCCUGCGCCAUCUCCUGAAUGGCGCAUUGAUCCUCGUUCAGUUCAAACUGGUUCUGAUCGGC
rnacentral:tRNA from 1 species